GCCAUGGUGUAUAAUACAACAAGUGAGAGCUCUUCAUUGUUCCUAUCUGCCAAAUCAUUAUACUUCCUACAAGCAGUGCAGAGAGCUGAGUCUUCAGCAGGUCCAAGAAAUUUGAACACACUGAAGGAAGUCAGCCUUCCCACCUGAAGAUCAACAUGCCUGGCACUCUAGCACUUGAGGAUAGCUGAAUGAAUGUGUCUUACCCAUUUCCAUGUUUCUCUUGCUAAUUUCUUUCGUGUGUGCCUUUGCCUCAUUUUCUCUUUUUGUUCACAAGAGUGGUCUGUGUCUUGUCUUAGACAUAUCUCUCAUUUUUCAUUUUGUUGCUAUUUCUCUUUGCUCUCCUAGAUGUGGCUCUUCUUUCACGCUUUAUUUCAUGUCUCCUUUUUGGGUCACAUGCUGUGUGCUUUUUGUCCUUUUCUUGUUCUGUCUACCUCUCCUUUCUCUGCCUACCUCUCUUUUCUCUUUGUGAACUGUGAUUAUUUGUUACCCCUUCCCCUUCUCGUUCGUUUUAAAUUUCACCUUUUUUCUGAGUCUGGCCUCCUUUCUGCUGUUUCUACUUUUUAUCUCACAUUUCUCAUUUCUGCAUUUCCUUUCUGCCUCUCUUGGGCUAUUCUCUCUCUCCUCCCCUGCGUGCCUCAGCAUCUCUUGCUGUUUGUGAUUUUCUAUUUCAGUAUUAAUCUCUGUUGGCUUGUAUUUGUUCUCUGCUUCUUCCCUUUCUACUCACCUUUGAGUAUUUCAGCCUCUUCAUGAAUCUAUCUCCCUCUCUUUGAUUUCAUGUAAUCUCUCCUUAAAUAUUUCUUUGCAUAUGUGGGCAAGUGUACGUGUGUGUGUGUCAUGUGUGGCAGAGGGGCUUCCUAACCCCUGCCUGAUAGGUGCAGAACGUCGGCUAUCAGAGCAAGCAUUGUGGAGCGGUUCCUUAUGCCAGGCUGCCAUGUGAGAUGAUCCAAGACCAAAACAAGGCCCUAGACUGCAGUAAAACCCAGAACUCAAGUAGGGCAGAAGGUGGAAGGCUCAUAUGGAUAGAAGGCCCAAAGUAUAAGACAGAUGGUUUGAGACUUGAGACCCGAGGACUAAGAUGGAAAGCCCAUGUUCCAAGAUAGAUAGAAGCCUCAGGCCUGAAACCAACAAAAGCCUCAAGAGCCAAGAAAACAGAGGGUGGCCUGAAUUGGACCGAAGGCCUGAGUUGGAUGGAAGUCUCAAGGCUUGAGUUAGAAGUCUUAAGACCUGGGACAGGACACAUGGAAGGCCUAAGAACUGAGACUUGUGACACAAGGCCAACGACCUAAGAUUAGCCCAGGGUUGUAGCUGGAAGACCUACAACCCAAGGAUGGAAGGCCCCUGUCACAAAGCCUACCUAGAUGGAUAGAGGACCCAAGCGAAAAAGGUAUCUCAAGACUAACGGCCGGAAUCUGGAGGCCCAUGACCCAGAACCCAGGAAGGAUAGAAGCUUGAAGACCUGGGGAAAUCCCAAGAUGAGAACCCUAAACCCUACCUCUUUUCUAUUGUUUACACUUCUUACUCUUAGAUAUUUCCAGUUCUCCUGUUUAUCUUUAAGCCUGAUUCUUUUGAGAUGUACUUUUUGAUGUUGCCGGUUACCUUUAGAUUGACAGUAUUAUGCCUGGGCCAGUCUUGAGCCAGCUUUAAAUCACAGCUUUUACCUAUUUGUUAGGCUAUAGUGUUUUGUAAACUUCUGUUUCUAUUCACAUCUUCUCCACUUGAGAGAGACACCAAAAUCCAGUCAGUAUCUAAUCUGGCUUUUGUUAACUUCCCUCAGGAGCAGACAUUCAUAUAGGUGAUACUGUAUUUCAGUCCUUUCUUUUGACCCCAGAAGCCCUAGACUGAGAAGAUAAAAUGGUCAGGUUGUUGGGGAAAAAAAAGUGCCAGGCUCUCUAGAGAAAAAUGUGAAGAGAUGCUCCAGGCCAAUGAGAAGAAUUAGACAAGAAAUACACAGAUGUGCCAGACUUCUGAGAAGCACCUGCCAGCAACAGCUUCCUUCUUUGAGCUUAGGUAACCAGGAAAGAGCUAGUAUGAGGAAAUGAAGUAAUAGAUGUGAGAUCCAGACCGAAAGUCACUUAAUUCAGCUUGCGAAUGUGCUUUCUAAAUUAUAAAGCACUUGUAAAUGAAAAAUUUGAUGCUUUCUGUAUGAAUAAAACUUUCUGUAAGCUA
ensembl:lncRNA XIST X inactive specific transcript